AGAGUUUGAUCAUGGCUCAGGACGAACGCUGACGGUGUGCUUUAGGCAUGCAAGUCGAACGAGAAAGCCCUUCGGGGUGAGUAAAGUGGCGAACGGGUGAGUAACACGUGGGCAACCUGCCCCUCGCAGGGGGACAACCGGAGGAAACUCCGGCUAAUACCCCGUACGCUUGUUGGAUCGCAUGGUACGGCAAGGAAAGGUAGCUUCGGCCAUCCGGCGAGGGAUGGGCCCGCGUUGCAUUAGCUAGUUGGUGGGGUAACGGCCUACCAAGGCGACGAUGCGUAGCUGGUCUGAGAGGAUGAUCAGCCACACUGGGACUGAGACACGGCCCAGACUCCUACGGGAGGCAGCAGCCAGGAAUCUUGGGCAAUGGGCGAAAGCCUGACCCAGCAACACCGUGUGGGUGAUGAAGGCCUUAGGGUCGUAAAGCCCUGUUGAUAGGGACGAAGGGCGAAGGGUUAAUAGCCCCUAGCUUGACGGUACCUUUCGAGGAAGCCCCGGCUAACUACGUGCCAGCAGCCGCGGUAAUACGUAGGGGGCGAGCGUUGUCCGGAAUUAUUGGGCGUAAAGAGCGUGUAGGCGGUUCGGUAAGUCUGCUGUGAAAUCCUGGGGCUCAACCCUGGGCGUGCAGCGGAUACUGCCGGGCUAGAGGGUGGUAGAGGCGAGUGGAAUUCCGAGUGUAGCGGUGAAAUGCGCAGAUAUUCGGAGGAACACCAGUAGCGAAGGCGGCUCGCUGGGCCACACCUGACGCUGAGACGCGAAAGCGUGGGGAGCGAACAGGAUUAGAUACCCUUGUAGUC
rnacentral:rRNA from 1 species